GACGAACGCUGGCGGCGUGCCUAAUACAUGCAAGUAGAACGCAGUUGCGAAUGAGUGAAUAACGCGUAGGUGACUGCCUGGUAGCGGGAGAUAAAUAGUGAAAAAGAUAGCUAAUACAGCAUACUACCAGAUGGACCUGAGUUGUAUUAGCUAGUUGGUGAGGUAACGGGUCAACAAGGCAACGAUACAUAGCCGACGGUAGAGGGUGAUCGGCCAACCUGGGACGGAUACACGGCCCAGACUCCGACGGGAGGCAGCAGUAGGGAAUCUGCGGCAAUGGGGGGAACCCUGACCGAGCAACGGCGCGUGAGUGAAGAAGGUUUUCGGAUCGUAAAGCUCUGUUGUUAAGGAAGCGGUACUUAACCAGAAAGGGACGGCUAACUACGUGCCAGCAGCCGCGGUAAUUC
rnacentral:rRNA from 1 species